UUCUCUAUUAUGAUUUUUUGAAAAAGAUGUUUUAUGUUAAGAAAAUAUAUGACACCCUAUCGCUGAGUUAAAAUUAUUCUGCAUGUUUUUAUAAAAUAAGUAUUUUGGAGUUUUGGGUGUGACAAAAACUGUAUACUCUUGAAUGUAAAAGACGGGCUCAAGAUUUCUAUAAUGGUGAAAAUGGAACAAGAAGUGAUAAAAUAGAGUUCUAUGAACUCCUAUUCCAGAGCUAGGCUACUAAACCAGA
rnacentral:lncRNA from 1 species